rnacentral:lncRNA from 1 species
CGGUUUGAUUAAUAAAGAAGAAUCACAAAAGACGUUAUCUAAACUCUACGAAUGGCGGAGAAGAAAUCGAGAGAAGAACCCCAAGACUCAUCCGAUGCAGUUAGAGGGGGGAUUAGGGUUACUCGCUAAUGGGUCGGAUUUCUUGAGAAAAACCUGAAAUAGACAGACAAAAAAGUCCUGACUGUUCUGAAUAAAUGAAACGCAAAGUUCUAUGGAUGUGACACAUGUUGGCUUUAUAGAGCACGACUUUGUGACAUGGAUGCCUAUGUGGACAGCCUAAGAGGGAAGCAAACCAUUAUAUAUAUAUAUGUUUCCUAGCUACUGUGAACCGGUUAAUGAUCUCAAUUAUUGCAUUUACUUGUUGAAAAUUAAAUAUUUCAAUAUAUGACGAAUGAACAUGAGUUACAAUUUUUAUUAAUGAAAAAGAAUAAGUAAGAAGUUUAAAUUUAAAUUUAUGAAAAAUGUGCAAGGACUUUAUAAACUACUAAAUUUUAAUAGGAUUUUUUCAUACAUUUAAAUUUAAAAUUUAUAUUUUAUUCAUUAUAAGAAAACGGCAAUUGAAGUUACUAACUGUCCAAGUUCAUUAGUCAUUAUAUGGCAAAUCUUUAAUUUUCAACAAGUAAAUGCAAAAAUUGAGAUCACUAACUGGUUCACAGUAGAGGCAACAUAUUGUGUAAUAUAGUUUCAAUGCAAUGUGUUAAAUAUUUCUGGGCAUUCAAAAGUUUCCAUGAAUUGA